rnacentral:tRNA from 1 species
GCUUUAGUAGUUUAAUAAAAACGAUGGUCUUGUAAGCCAUAAUUAGGGAUUCCCUCUAAAACU